rnacentral:rRNA from 1 species
CGGAGGAAGGUGGGGACGACGUCAAAUCAUCAUGCCCCUUAUGUCCAGGGCUGCACACAUGCUACAAUGGCCGGUACAGAGGGCUGCGAUACCGCAAGGUGGAGCGAAUCCCAAAAAGCCGGUCUCAGUUCGGAUCGGGGUCUGCAACUCGACCCCGUGAAGUCGGA